rnacentral:ncRNA from 1 species
AGUUAAUGUGGAGAGGAGUUGUUCAGUUUAAUCUGAAAACUGCAUGUUUUACAGAUAAUCUGAAACUAUUAAUGAUUGUUCUGACUGAAGAACAAGUUGAUUGUCCGAAAAGUUACCACAGAGUUAACUGGGCUGCGGCGGCCAAGCGUUCAGAGCGGCGUCGCUUUUUGAUCCGUCGAUGUCGGCUGGAGGGAACAAUCCAACGCUUCACCAAGCUUUGGAUUGUUCCCCCACUAAUAGGGAACGAGAGCUGGGUUUAGACAGGUGAGACUGGUUAGUUUUACCCUAGUGAUG